rnacentral:rRNA from 1 species
CACGUAGUCUGCCAUACGCAGGAAGACCCGCUGAACUGAAGCAUCUCAU